ACGACUACUCCCACCACCCCAGCAACCACCACCCCAGUACCCACCACCCCAGCAACCACCACCCCAGCAAUCACCACCCCAGCAACAACCAAAGCUCCAAGCACUCAAACCACCACACUGAACGGCACGCAAGCAACUUCUCCACCCACUACAUCCCUGGAGAAUGAAACCGACUCAGAAUCUGCCCACACAGCAGGUGCCAUUGACAGAGGAUACAAUGACAGCUUGCCGACGACCGGUCUGCCUAACAGCACGACAAGAGCUGGACUCGCUCUGUUCAACAAAGCCGACCCGACCGGUGUCAGCGCCAGCAAGGGAAACAGCAAUUACCUGUGGCUGAUAGCGGCGGCUGCAGGCUGUUUUCUGGUGGCACUCGCCAUUGCAUUUAUUCUGGUCCGCCGCCGCACCCGUUCCGUACAGUUUCCUCAGCCGAGCGCAUCCUCAACAACAAAACGCCAGGUACAUGCGGUGACGUCUUUCUCGACACUUUUACGUUAGACGCGGACCACACGUCUCUGGCCGCAGCAUUCCAAUGUCUUAUCGCUCUCCUAGUAUUGACUCCCAUUGAUUUUCGCUAUACCUAAGCAGUCAAAUAUUCCUGCAUAAUUCACUCCUUAGCCCUACAUUGACUGCUUAUAUUUGACUGCUUACUAUUUUUAGGGGUUGUGCAGUUGAACGGUGCCUAGUGUAGCAUGCUUACUGUGUGAGUAGGUGAUGGUGCAACGGUUGUGCAAUCAUAAAACCGGGAUUCAUGAGGUUAUGACUUUGUGGAUGACGAGGUCGUCCAGGGACAAUGGCAGUCUCCCCUGGCCAAGAGUUUACUAAGGGGCCUAUAGUACAUGUAUGUGCAACGCCAGCCCGGGCUGGAGCGAGCGGGCCAGCCCGGGCUGGAGCGAGCGGGCCAGCCCGGGCUGGAGCGAGCGGGCCAGCCCGCCAAGCGUGUUUACAUGUGCAAGGCCGGGCUGGUCGCCAGCCCGCAGUGAGUUUAAAUGUGCUGAACACACGCCAGCCCGCAGUGAGUAUGCAGCAAACACACUACGACUGUAGUGUGCUGAUGCGGGCUGAAACGCAGGGCUGCAAGCCAUACUCAGGUUAUAAACCUAAACACAUUUUUUCUCACACAAUGUUUUUUUCUGCAUAUUUCUUUUCGCGCUGUGGCACAUGUUUGGUGUGUUGUAUCAUCUCGUUUCUUUUUCCUGUUUUUCACAUUUUUAGCUGUCCAUAUCAAAGUAUUUUGCAAG